UACAUAGGUCUCAAGCGUUGUUCGGAUUCAUUGGGCGUAAAGGGUGCGUAGGCGGCGCGGUAAGUCGGGUGUGAAAUCUCGGAGCUUAACUCCGAAACUGCAUUCGAUACUGCCGUGCUUGAGGACUGGAGAGGAGACUGGAAUUUACGGUGUAGCGGUGAAAUGCGCAGAUAUCAGGAAGAACACCCGUGGCGAAGGCGGUUCUCUGGGCCUGACCUGACGCUGAGGAGCGAAAGCGUGGGGAGCGAACAGG
rnacentral:rRNA from 1 species